UGCGUAGGCGGGUCUUUAAGUCAGAGGUGAAAUCCUGGAGCUCAACUCCAGAACUGCCUUUGAUACUGAGGAUCUUGAGUUCGGGAGAGGUGAGUGGAACUGCGAGUGUAGAGGUGAAAUUCGUAGAUAUUCGCAAGAACACCAGUGGCGAAGGCGGCUCACUGGCCCGAUACUGACGCUGAGGCACGAAAGCUGGGGAGCAAACA
rnacentral:rRNA from 1 species